CAGUCGCCGCGGUAACACGGAGGGUGCAAACGUUGCUCGGAAUUAUUGGGCGUAAAGCGCACGUAGGCGGCCAAGUAAGUCGGGUGUGAAAGCCCAGGGCUUAACCCUGGAAGUGCACUCGAAACUGCUUGGCUUGAAUGUGGAAGAGGGUCGCGGAAUUCCCGGUGUAGAGGUGAAAUUCGUAGAUAUCGGGAGGAACACCAGUGGCGAAGGCGGCGACCUGGGCCAACAUUGACGCUGAGGUGCGGAAGCGUGGGGAGCAAACAGGAUUAGAUACCCCUGUAGUCCCUGUCUCUUAUAC
rnacentral:rRNA from 1 species